rnacentral:rRNA from 1 species
AACGAACGCUGGCGGCAUGCCUAACACAUGCAAGUCGAACGAGACCUUCGGGUCUAGUGGCGCACGGGUGCGUAACGCGUGGGAACCUGCCCUUAGGUUCGGAAUAACUCCCCGAAAGGGGUGCUAAUACCGGCUAAUCUCUUCGGACCAAAGAUUUAUCGCCUUUGGAUGGGCCCGCGUUGGAUUAGCUAGUUGGUAGGGUAAAAGCCUACCAAGGCGACGAUCCAUAGCUGGUCUGAGAGGAUGAUCAGCCACACUGGGACUGAGACACGGCCCAGACUCCUACGGGAGGCAGCAGUGGGGAAUAUUGGACAAUGGGCGAAAGCCUGAUCCAGCAAUGCCGCGUGAGUGAUGAAGGCCUUAGGGUUGUAAAGCUCUUUUACCCGGGAUGAUAAUGACAGUACCGGGAGAAUAAGCUCCGGCUAACUCCGUG